CCGGGACAGCGCGGGCCGGGGCCACGGGAGAGGAGAGGAGAGGAAGAGGAGGAGGAGGAAGAGAGGAGAGGAGGGCGGAGGCCGGGCGCAAGGCGAAGUCUCAGACACCUUGGAGAGCCGGCCCUCAGCCCCUGGAGUCCUGAGCCAGAUCUGGGAGCCUGCCCAGCCCUGCUCAGUGGAUGGGAAACAGGCGGAGCCCGUCCGGGGCUAUGCCCACCACGUCGUGGACCAGGUGCCCGGCACCUCUCAGGCUUCGGCCACACAAUGCCAGAGGAACGUAAAGAGGAACUGAGAAAGAUCCCCCAAGCUCUGUGGUCUCCUCACAGCAGGCUGACGUCACCUGGCCUGGGGCUAGAAAGAGGCAGGCCUGGCCCAACCCUGGUGCCAAGGUCACACCAGCUUCCCCAGGGCCACAGCCGGUAGUGACCACAGAAUGUGGAACCAGGUGGCCCCCAGGAUUUCCCGAGAGGUCCGGAUGCCCUGGCUCCAGCUAUCCAGGAGGGCAGGCUGGGGAAGUAGCCCACCCCCAGGCCAGAUUCAGCCUCCAGGCUGGCUCCCUUCCUUAAGGAAGGAAGCCACCCCACUCCCAGCGCCUGCUCCAGGCACCCAGGGGAGUCCGAGCUCUCCUCCCUAGCAGGGACUGCCUGGUGCUAUGAACACCUGUCUGCCCUCGGCUCCCUAAGGGCAGAGGACCUAGUAGGUGCUUCAUAAAUGAGCAGGAGCCGAGCCUGCACCAGGCCCCUGCGUGACCCUGCCCUCCCCCAGCACUGUCCAGGUCAGGGGCUGGGCUUAGAGGGCCAUUCCCACUGCCUUUGGUGCCCACCCUGCCACCACCAUGGGGGCCAGUUGAGCUCAGACAGGUGGGUCCCAGGCCCCCUCCCAGUGAUAAGCCUAACGGAUUGUGACAUUGAGUCCUGCCUCCAAGGACUGGGAAUGGCAGGCCCCCACACCUCGUGUCACACAGUGUGGCAAUAGCGGCCCCUCUUCGCUGGGGCCAAGCGCUGCCCAGGAGAGCUUUCCUGCAUCCCCUUGCUGGGCCUCACCUGUAGUGCAGGGGAGGGAGGGGGAGGGAGCUGAUAGCGGGAGCCUGGGGAAGCCACCAGGGCCACGCGUAGUGGGGGAGGGAGCAAGGUUUGACUCACCCUCCUCCCGCUGCCUGGCUUUCUCUUUGCUUUCCCUCAGGGCUUUCUGCUUCUCUUUCUCCAAGGGCCGCGUGGACACCUCCCCUCCCGGGCUUGUUAGGGCAGGGAGGUGACCUUCUCUGAGUAUGUGACCCUGAAUCCGGUCAAGGAUGGUACCCAUCAGCUCACUGACCUGCCGGUCCCAACAGUGUGGCUGGGUCCCUUCCCCCAAGCCGGGGACGGACCUGGGGGCGGACAGCUGAGGGGCUGGGGGCUGGGAGUCUGAGAGAAGGCCCAGGCCUCCACCCCAAGGGCCCCCCCGCCAAGUGUGCAAACCUCUGUCUGAGUACAAUAACCAAGCUCUACUUUUGUAAUUAAAAAUAUAUUCCAAGGAGAAAAAGAAACAAA